CAGAAAUAAACCAAGUUGAGGUUGCAGGCUGGCAUGCAAAUGUUCUACUAAUGAUGAACUUUUGCUGUCUUCUAAGAGGAAACUACAGUCAGUUUCUGAAAUUAAAUCAGGACAGCUAAAAAAAAAAACUUUAAGAGACAGAAGGAGACAGAAGACUGCUGUUUAGACUAAUACAAUCUUACAGAACAGUGAAAUGUCAAAACUCUACUUGCACUUGAUACUAACUGCCCAUUGGCCUCUCCUUGUCCAACACAGGCUAAGACAGCUGUCCAGUGCAAGCAGCAACAGUUUUUCACAUGUUAAGGAACCAAAGAAAGCUGAACGUGUCCAUUAUCAGGGCCUGGGUUGUGCUGCUGUGCCAGUGGUAUUUGCCAACAGAUUGACAACAAAGUGACAUGAGAAUGGUAUUAGAAAACUCAACAGCUGACUCAGAAUUGCUCAAAAUGGAGCAAUGCAGCUGGGUGUGAUGGAGCAAAAGGCAUUUGUGACUAAUGUGAGUGAGGUGGGCAGCUCUGCACUGGGAAAGGGCACUGUCACAGAAACAAUCUGCAUAAGCCAAAGCAUGGAGAUUACACUGUGAAUGCCCUCUUAAGAGAGCCCUAAAGCCUGUGCAAAUGCAACCUGAUAAAAACUAGAGGUUUGCCAGUGCACAUCAAAGAGUUACGGGAUAGCAUGAGAAGCCUUAGCAGAGUUUGAGCCUGUGCCUUGGUUCACUGCAAGCACUGCUCUGCAACAACCAAAACAUGGGUGUGUUAUAAACAUCAGUCUGAUCCUCAAUCCAAGACACAGCACUGUAUCAGUACUAGGACAAAAUUAACUGUAUCCCAG
rnacentral:lncRNA from 1 species